AGACGAGCAUCUUCUGUCCUUACACAUCAUUUGUAUUGCUCGUUGGAUUUAACCGUGGUUGUAAGCAGUACUCAAAACUCAUCUUAGAUCUGGAAAGAACUGCUCGCACCAUCACUGUGUCAUCAUCAUCAUCUUUCAGAUAUACUGAGGGAACUGUCGUCCAUCUUCCACAUGAACUGCUCCGAUAGACUUCUUCCGGACUUCGAGGAUAUGACGGAAUCCCACUGCCGUAUGCAUUAUUUCCCCGACAGCUAGUAAGUAGUCUUCUUCGUGGUGUUUAGCCACCCAAGAACUCGAGGAAGAAGACGACAAUGGCGAAGAAUAGGAGUAACAAGACGGAGCAAGU